rnacentral:tRNA from 1 species
UUCUAAAUAAUUUAAUUAAAAUAUCUACUUUGGAUGUAGAAAAUACUAAA